rnacentral:lncRNA from 1 species
UAACCUGUAAUAUCCCAUACAUGAUCAACAACAUACAUAAAACUGUAAACUUUUUCUUUCUUUUUCCAAGCUUAACCUGAACAUGUGCACAUCUAAUAACAUAACCACCACUGGAGUCCUCAUCAAAUGCUCCAAUGGGGUUUUUCAUCAUUCGAUAAGCUUGGAUUAUCAAGUACAUCAUAAAAACAUUUCUAUAGAUCAUGUGUCAAGGGGAUAACCAUAACAUAGGGUCAAGCACAUACUAGUCCUCAAUCAUCCUCAUCAUUACAUAACUAUACAUUACUCUUUCAUUACAUUAACAUAGUCAUAAAUACUCAUUACAUCAUANNN